GUUCCCAACCUGGCAGAAUGUGAUCUCCUGGAGUCCCCUGAAUUUCUUAGAAGACAGAAGCCCAGGGAGGAUUCCCCAAAGCAGAAUGCAAGGCUGAAGAAAUGAAAGAAUAAUUUAGAGCCUUA